GACGAACGCUGGCGGCGUGCUUAACACAUGCAAGUCGAACGGAAAGGCCCUGCUUGCAGGGUACUCGAGUGGCGAACGGGUGAGUAACACGUGGGUGAUCUGCCCUGCACUUCGGGAUAAGCCUGGGAAACUGGGUCUAAUACCGGAUAAGAGCCAUUUUUAGUGUGAUGGUUGGAAAGUUUUUUCGGUGUAGGAUGAGCUCGCGGCCUAUCAGCUUGUUGGUGGGGUAAUGGCCUACCAAGGCGGCGACGGGUAGCCGGCCUGAGAGGGUGGACGGCCACAUUGGGACUGAGAUACGGCCCAGACUCCUACGGGAGGCAGCAGUGGGGAAUAUUGCACAAUGGGCGCAAGCCUGAUGCAGCGACGCCGCGUGGGGGAUGACGGCCUUCGGGUUGGAAACUCCUUUCGCUAGGGACGAAGCUUUUUGUGACGGUACCUAGAUAAGAAGCACCGGCUAACUACGUG
rnacentral:rRNA from 1 species